GGUGGAUCUUCUCGUAUUGUCUUCAGGACAGGCGAGUGCAAUGCAUUUCCUGGCCACCAGCCCUCAUGGGCUCACAUUGGGUGCUGGUGGCACACUCACACAUCCCCGUAGCUGGGACUGAGAUUUCUCCUUUCAUACAUUAUUCACAGCUUGCAGCAAUGAGUGCUUCCGCAGUCUUUUAACCUUAUCCAAAUGUAACCUCGCAUUCACAAUUAUACAUAACUUGGAAGAAGCAUGCUGUACCAUAAAAAGUUGCCUUCUGGGGAAUUUGUUGUUGUUGGGCUUGAGCUUAAACUAAAAUGGCUUAGACGGAAAAUUAGUGAACAACAACAUUUCUCCACUUUCUUUUGCAUAACAGCUGGGAGGAAUCGGUUCAUUCUACAAGCCCGGGGUGCGCCGGCCAGCUGGCAGGAGUGCUCCAGAGCCAGGGUGCCAGAUCCCAAACAGCUGCAUCACUGCUCAUCCAUCUGUAGCACACACCAUAUGCCAAACCCCAAACCUGGACGCCCACAUGAUUUAGAAUUGGUGCAAAAUAGUAAGGGAGCAGUGUUCUUGAUUGACUUCAGGAAACCGUUUCUCAGAUGGCAAGGCUCCAGUGGCCAUGGGAAGAUGGAAUGGCACUCCGUGGUCACUCAGAAAUGGCAGUGCUGACCUCCAAUGCAGAUUCCAGGCCAUGUUUGGAGCUGGGGUGAGUCCUUUGUGAAAACACAUUGCCAUUCUGUUGACUUCACUUGGCAUGGCUCUCAUUGUCAUUCUGGUAAUGGUGACGGGAAUACAAUAUCUUCAUUGUACUUUUUUUUUCUCUGUAUCUACCUUUGACCUUGAUUUCUAAGUUUCUUCCAUUAUUUUGAAUACAAGUAUUUUGUGUUUACAAACUACUUCACAGUUUAUAAUUCCUAUUUAUAAAAUAUUUUAUUGAAAGACACACUCAGUGCAGG
rnacentral:lncRNA from 1 species